GACGAACCGUGCGAACGUUGUUCGGAAUCACUGGGCUUAAAGGGCGCGUAGGCGGUCAAUCCAGUCGGGGGUGGAAUCUUGCAGCUUAACUGUAAAAGUGCCUUCGAUACUGAUUGACUCGAGGGAGGUAGGGGCAGGUGGAACUUCCAGUGGAGCGGUGAAAUGUGUUGAUAUUGGAAGGAACGCCGGUGGCGAAAGCGACCUGCUGGAUCUCUUCUGACGCUGAGGCGCGAAAGCUAGGGGAGCAAACGGG
rnacentral:rRNA from 1 species